UACGUAGGGCGCAAGCGUUAUCCGGAAUUAUUGGGCGUAAAGAGCUCGUAGGCGGUUUGUCGCGUCUGCCGUGAAAGUCCGCGGCUCAACUCCGGAUCUGCGGUGGGUACGGGCAGACUAGAGUGAUGUAGGGGAGACUGGAAUUCCUGGUGUAGCGGUGAAAUGCGCAGAUAUCAGGAGGAACACCGAUGGCGAAGGCAGGUCUCUGGGCAUUAACUGACGCUGAGGAGCGAAAGCAUGGGGAGCGAACAGG
rnacentral:rRNA from 1 species